rnacentral:rRNA from 1 species
GAUGAACGCUAGCUACAGGCUUAACACAUGCAAGUCGCGGGGCAGCAUGGGGGUUGCUUGCAAUCCCCGAUGGCGACCGGCGCACGGGUGAGUAACGCGUAUCCAACCUGCCCUUCACCACGGGAUAACCCGGCGAAAGUCGGACUAAUACCGUAUGUUGUCCAUUGACGGCAUCCGAUUUGGACGAAAGGCUUGGCGGUGAGGGAUGGGGAUGCGUCCGAUUAGCCAGACGGCGGGGUAACGGCCCACCGUGGCUACGAUCGGUAGGGGUUCUGAGAGGAAGGUCCCCCACACUGGAACUGAGACACGGUCCAGACUCCUACGGGAGGCAGCAGUGAGGAAUAUUGGUCAAUGGGCGUAAGCCUGAACCAGCCAAGUAGCGUGCAGGAGGACGGCCCUAUGGGUUGUAAACUGCUUUUAUGCGGGGAUAAAGUGGCCCACGUGUGGGCUUUUGCAGGUACCGCAUGAAUAAGGACCGGCUAAUUCCGUG